rnacentral:rRNA from 1 species
UGGGGAAUCUUGGACAAUGGGCGCAAGCCUGAUCCAGCCAUGCCGCGUGGAUGAUGAAGGCCUUAGGGUUGUAAAAUCCUUUCGUUGGGGACGAUAAUGACGGUACCCAAAGAAGAAGCUCCGGCUAACUUCGUGCCAGCAGCCGCGGUAAUACGAAGGGGGCUAGCGUUGUUCGGAUUUACUGGGCGUAAAGCGCGUGUAGGCGGGUCGUUAAGUUGGGGGUGAAAUCCCGAGGCUCAACCUCGGAACUGCCUUCAAAACUGGCGACCUGGACCUAAGUAGAGGCAAGUGGAAUUGCGAGUGUAGAGGUGAAAUUCGUAGAUAUUCGCAGGAACACCAGUGGCGAAGGCGACUUGCUGGACUUAUGGUGACGCUGAGACGCGAAAGCGUGGGGAGCAAACAGGAUUAGAUACCCAUGUAGUCCCUGAGCGGGCUGGCAAGGCGCAU